GACGAACGCUGGCGGCGUGCUUAACACAUGCCAGUCGAACGGAAAGGCCCUGCUUUUGUGGGGUGCUCGAGUGGCGAACGGGUGAGUAACACGUGAGUAACCUGCCCUUGACUUUGGGAUAACUUCAGGAAACUGGGGCUAAUACCGGAUAGGAGCUCCUGCUGCAUGGUGGGGGUUGGAAAGUUUCGGCGGUUGGGGAUGGCCUCGCGGCUUAUCAGCUUCUUGGUGGGGUAGUGGCUUACCACGGCUUUGACGGGUAGCCGGCCUGGGAAGGUGACCGGCCACAUUGGGACUGAGGUACGGCCCAGACUCCUACGGGAGGCAGCAGUGGGGAAUAUUGCAGAAUGGGCGGAAGCCUGAUGCAGCAACGCCGCGUGCGGGAUGACGGCCUUCGGGUUGUAAACCGCUUUCGAAUGUGACGAAGCGUGAGUGACGGUAAUGGGUAAAGAAGCACCGGCUAACUACGUG
rnacentral:rRNA from 1 species